ensembl:lncRNA
CUUUGUGCUUGUAUUUGUGCUGCCAUUCCUCAGUAUUUGAGCGUUAGGCAAGUUUUCGGGUGUGGUCACAAGGUUCACUGUACAUCCUAAAUUUCCCGCUUUGUCCACUUGGCCGUAUCGCUACUAAUUUCUACAGUUGAAGCCCAGGGAACAUUAUCCUCCAGACUAUUUAAGCCUUUUGCUGCCAGAUCAUUCCUCUAAAACAAUCCCUCAACCCCGUUUUUCUCUCUCCACUUUCCAGACAUUUUUUUUUUGCCCCCCCCUUUUUUUGUUGCUCCCUCUCUUAUUUUUCUCCAUUUAUUCAGUUUCUCUAACAAAAGCCAAGUCCGGGAAGCACACGCUCGGACCGCCGCUAAUUGGUAUCAGAUCUGCGGGGUUUGUAUCAGCACCACGCUGGCCGAAGCCAAAACUUUGCUCUCAUCUGCAUCGAGUGUGGGUCGCUGAGAGCCCAGGUGUGUCCCGUGUCACCCUCUUGCCGCUUAUCUAACGUCUCCCGACACUGUCACACAGGAAACCACCUUGGGGACCAAACGUUGGAGAAUGUUAAGCACCAUAUAAUGGGGGAAGACUUAGAAGUGACUUUCAAGUAAACGGGGGAAAUUGAAUCGGGUUGGGUGAACUGAUGGAUGCUUAAAUAUUGCCUAUUGCAAGAAAGAAAGGACACCUUUUUCAUAUUUAAUUUCCAUCCUCACAUUUGGCAAAAAAAACAGCCUAUGAAAUAGCGAAAGCCAGAGCAGAUAUCAGGCAUAAGGUUAUACUUCCAGCAGUGACUGAUUGGCCAGCUCUUUGCUGCUGGCCUUUUAUUCCAACUCUCCAUCAGAUAACAGGAACUUUGAUUGGAACUGCUUCCAUGUUGUGUGACAGAAGGUGAGUUAGUAAAAAAGGACUUCAACAAUCAUGACAAAUCAACAUUCAUGCACUAAUUAAAAUAAAGGGAGGUCAGAAAGAGUGCUAUGGCACUUUACUUUUGAAAGCUCUUUGUGGAAACACAAUCCUUCCAUUUGUAAGUUGGGAGUCACCUUAUCCUCGCUCUGUGCCCCGUGGCAGCCCUCGUGCACUCUGAACGUCUUCCAAGCACAACAAUCAGGGACACAGCAUGAGCAAAAAACUGAUAUAUUAAAUGUAAUCUCUGUAAUCUUUUUUUCUUUCUUGCCACUCCUUUGCUUACAAUUGUAAGUCUCUCCCUCUCCCCUGCUGACACUGGCACAUCCAAUCAAAUUGGAUGGAUGGGAAUGGAAUUGCCGUUUUGGAGCCAUGUGUCCCUAAAUUCAUUGAAGAUAGAGAACAUAGACGGGAGUUCAAAGCGACUCCCUCACCCCCUUUUGCUUCUCGUAAUCCCGGCUAGAAACCGAAGGAAGGAAGAAAGGCAAGUGUGUGUCGCCGCGAAGACGUAACAAUAACAAAAAGAAGAAGAAAAAAAACCCUGCUUGAAACACCAAAACCCCUUCAUAAUUGAGGCAACGGAGGGAGGGCCUUUUUGGAACAAGUGACAAGUGGUGUGUGUUUGCAUCUGUGUGCACGGACAGCCCACCGCUCAUGGGUAACAGAUGGCGCCUUAUCAUUGGCCGGGAUCGGCGGCACAGCGCGCAUUCCUAGACGUGCUAGUAAUGCCUUUUUGUGCUGUUUGACUUUUGCUAACUUCACAUCGAAUUACACACCAAAUUACCAUCAUUACAAUAUAAAAUUAUAUUAUUGCGCACACUGGGUGGCAUUGGUGGAGAUAAUUAUUACCCAUUGAUUGAAAAAGCUAUUAUUCCUGUGCCGAUGGUGGGUUUCGGGACAGAGGAUGUCGUUUGUGUACAGACGGUAAAGCCCUCACAGGC